CCCCAACCCUCCAGCCCCUACCUGCCGCUCUCGCUGCUGACCGAUACGGUCACGUUGGUGUCGGGGUCCAGUUGCAGUUCGUCCGCCUGUUGAUGUUGACACUCGCUGACCUGACGUCAGUAACAGAUCGGGAGUGACACUCGAUGGGAGGCGCAGCAACAAACUACUGCACGCCGCUGCAAUUUAACCCCAACCAGUGCUCCCAGCCUGGCAAGGAAACACGUGCCUGCUGCAUUGCUUCUUCCACCGUGGUCUUCGAAAUGAUUUGAGGAAGAAAUGUUCAGAAUUAUGUUUCUUUUAUUAUCAAAAGAAUGCCGUCAUGAUCAAAAAAUAGUGCGGCCAAUCUUUCACAACGAGGGAGAAGAACAGCCAGAACUGUACAGUCUGACUGCGAAGUUUUCAUAGAGGAAAAAUUCAUGAACCCAGAGCUCUUCCCUGUCAAAACAUGCUUCUACCAAAGGACUAAUUAAAAUUGAAUUAGGCCAUGCAUGAACUUACAAGGAAUAAACUGGGCACCGAAUGGACAUUAAUAAAAGAAGUUUGCAUUAAUUGUUAAGUGAUCCCUCAACGUGGUGGGAUUUCCUUCACCAGAAGAGCUACAGCAGACUGAGAAGGCAGCAUCAUUUCUCAAGACCAGUUACGAUGGGAACUAAACAUUGGCCAUGCCAACCAUACCCAGAAUGUGCAUGUGAUAAAUAAAAACAUGAAUAGAAUAUCUUUACAGUUGCUGGGGUGAAAAAUAGCUAUUAAAAUUCAGAAGAUUAAAGUAGAUCAAUAUUGAGGUUUACAUUCAUACUCAAUUAAUUGUGUGCAUUAUGGGAUUAAUAUUCUCCAGACUGAAUGGCAGCUCAGGGUGGAGAGAAGGGAAAUGAGUGGCGAGGAGGAAUUUCUCAUAUUCCUUCCAUUCACAAUUCACUAAAUAAUCUCCCAUGAUCUACAAAAGCCCUCUGUCAAGCAGCUUCUGCCAUCUCUGCCAGGAAUUUGGAAGGGACUAUUCACUCUUUAACAGUCUUGUUCAUUCUUUUAUUACCUCCUCUCCCCAACAUUCCACUUUGGAGUGUCGUACUAGAUUAAAUUACUCUGUUGCUUCUUCUUUUAUCAUUAUUUUGGACCACACUCUUUCCAUGUGACCAAAAGGCUGGACAUGAUGGUGCUCAGUGCUAAGGAAAACUGCUCUCGAUACACUUUGCAUGUGAAUCUUGAGUGCCCCAUUUAAAACAAAACUUAUUCACAGAUAUUCAAACCAAUUGAACCAAAUAGCCUACCUUCAAAUGUUGCUCUGAUUGCAUCUUUUAAAGGGCCUGACUUCUUUUAAACUACCCACAAAAGAUCCCUUUCCAAAAUGUUAAUUUACAAUUUAGUUUCUCAAAUGUUAGUAGGGCUAAUGAUAUAUCUCACCUGGAUGAAUACACAUGCUAGGAAGGACUACAAGGGUUACCCUGAGCUUCCAGUCACCUGUCAUAUUAAUUCUCUGUUCCACUUUCACUCUGACUUCUCUGUCCUCAACCUCCCACAUAACUCCAAAAAUGUCCAGUGUCAGAUCGAGGAACAAAACCUCACCCUCUAUCUGGGCACUUUGCAUCCCUUGGGACAUUUUAAUUUAAAAUUUUAAGGUAACAGCCCUCUUUCUUCGUCUCCAUAGAUUGGUUGUAUCUUUCUGUUUAAAGUUGUUCCUUUUUUUUCUUUUAUGUCUCUAACUGCUGGUUUUAUUAUUAUUUUGACAACUUUGGUUGACAUUCGCUCUCCAGCCCUCCCUGCCUUUGAAAAUUAAAACAUGUUUGUUUUCUCAACUUUUUCAAUUCUGAUGAAGGGUUGUUAAUCUGAAAUGUCAACUCUAUUUCUCUCCCCACAGAUGCUGCCUGACCUGCUGAAUGCUCCCAACAUUUUCUAUUUUUUUCAGAUUUGCAACAUCUGCAAUUUUUGCUCCAAUUAUGAGAGCCAAUUUGGCUCUAGAGAAAUCAUAGAAAGGAGGUAUUCUUUUCCCUCUAUUCCCACUUUCCUACUUCUGAAAACUUCUCAGUUUUCCCUCUCCUACCUUUUUUAAAUAGUGAGGUCACACAUGUUACUCUUCAAUUUGCAGGAACUAUUCCAGAAUCAAUAGAGUUUUG